rnacentral:rRNA from 1 species
UGGCUCAGGAUGAACGCUGGCGGCGUGCCUAAUACAUGCAAGUCGAGCGAACGGACGAGAAGCUUGCUUCUCUGAUGUUAGCGGCGGACGGGUGAGUAACACGUGGAUAACCUACCUAUAAGACUGGGAUAACUUCGGGAAACCGGAGCUAAUACCGGAUAAUAUUUUGAACCGCAUGGUUCAAAAGUGAAAGACGGUCUUGCUGUCACUUAUAGAUGGAUCCGCGCUGCAUUAGCUAGUUGGUAAGGUAACGGCUUACCAAGGCAACGAUGCAUAGCCGACCUGAGAGGGUGAUCGGCCACACUGGAACUGAGACACGGUCCAGACUCCUACGGGAGGCAGCAGUAGGGAAUCUUCCGCAAUGGGCGAAAGCCUGACGGAGCAACGCCGCGUGAGUGAUGAAGGUCUUCGGAUCGUAAAACUCUGUUAUUAGGGAAGAACAUAUGUGUAAGUAACUGUGCACAUCUUGACGGUACCUAAUCAGAAAGCCACGGCUAACUACGUGCCAGCAGCCGCGGUAAUACGUAGGUGGCAAGCGUUAUCCGGAAUUAUUGGGCGUAAAGCGCGCGUAGGCGGUUUUUUAAGUCUGAUGUGAAAGCCCACGGCUCAACCGUGGAGGGUCAUUGGAAACUGGAAAACUUGAGUGCAGAAGAGGAAAGUGGAAUUCCAUGUGUAGCGGUGAAAUGCGCAGAGAUAUGGAGGAACACCAGUGGCGAAGGCGACUUUCUGGUCUGUAACUGACGCUGAUGUGCGAAAGCGUGGGGAUCAAACAGGAUUAGAUACCCUGGUAGUCCACGCCGUAAACGAUGAGUGCUAAGUGUUAGGGGGUUUCCGCCCCUUAGUGCUGCAGCUAACGCAUUAAGCACUCCGCCUGGGGAGUACGACCGCAAGGUUGAAACUCAAAGGAAUUGACGGGGACCCGCACAAGCGGUGGAGCAUGUGGUUUAAUUCGAAGCAACGCGAAGAACCUUACCAAAUCUUGACAUCCUUUGACAACUCUAGAGAUAGAGCUUUCCCCUUCGGGGGACAAAGUGACAGGUGGUGCAUGGUUGUCGUCAGCUCGUGUCGUGAGAUGUUGGGUUAAGUCCCGCAACGAGCGCAACCCUUAAGCUUAGUUGCCAUCAUUAAGUUGGGCACUCUAAGUUGACUGCCGGUGACAAACCGGAGGAAGGUGGGGAUGACGUCAAAUCAUCAUGCCCCUUAUGAUUUGGGCUACACACGUGCUACAAUGGACAAUACAAAGGGCAGCGAAACCGCGAGGUCAAGCAAAUCCCAUAAAGUUGUUCUCAGUUCGGAUUGUAGUCUGCAACUCGACUACAUGAAGCUGGAAUCGCUAGUAAUCGUAGAUCAGCAUGCUACGGUGAAUACGUUCCCGGGUCUUGUACACACCGCCCGUCACACCACGAGAGUUUGUAACACCCGAAGCCGGUGGAGUAACCUUUUAGGAGCUAGCCGUCGAAGGUGGGACAAAUGAUUGGGGUGAAGUCGUAACAAGGUAGCCGUAUCGGAAGGUGCGGCUGGAUCACCUCCUUU